CUUUCUUUGUGCAAUGAUUAUUGCUCCUUGGGUUACAGCAAGAUCAAAAUAGAAGGGAAGCCAUUUUGCUGAUACAAAUGCCUUCGUUGCCCAAAAGGGAAAAUUGCCAACCAGACAGGUUUACAGGACUGUUUCCCAUGCCCUGAAGCAUACUAUCCUAACAAGAACCAGGAUCAGUGCAUUAAAAAACUCAGAACUUUCUUGUCUUACAAAGAA